rnacentral:rRNA from 1 species
GACGAACGUUGGCGGCGUGCUUAACACAUGCAAGUCGAACGGAAAGGCCCUGCUUUUGUGGGGUGCUCGAGUGGCGAACGGGUGAGUAACACGUGAGUAACCUGCCCUUGACUUUGGGAUAACUUCAGGAAACUGGGGCUAAUACCGGAUAGGAGCUCCUGCUGCAUGGUGGGGGUUGGAAAGUUUCGGCGGUUGGGGAUGGACUCGCGGCUUAUCAGCUUGUUGGUGGGGUAGUGGCUUACCAAGGCUUUGACGGGUAGCCGGCCUGAGAGGGUGACCGGCCACAUUGGGACUGAGAUACUGCCCAGACUCCUACGGGAGGCAGCAGUGGGGAAUAUUGCACAAUGGGCGGAAGCCUGAUGCAGCAACGCCGCGUGCGGGAUGACGGCCUUCGGGUUGUAAACCGCUUUCGCCUGUGACGAAGCGUGAGUGACGGUAAUGGGUAAAGAAGCACCGGCUAACUACGUG